rnacentral:rRNA from 1 species
GACGAACGCUGGCGGCGUGCCUAAUACAUGCAAGUUGAGCGAUGAAGAUUGGUGCUUGCACCAAUUUGAAGAGCAGCGAACGGGUGAGUAACGCGUGGGGAAUCUGCCUUUGAGCGGGGGACAACAUUUGGAAACGAAUGCUAAUACCGCAUAACAACUUUAAACAUAAGUUUUAAGUUUGAAAGAUGCAAUUGCAUCACUCAAGGAUGAUCCCGCGUUGUAUUAGCUAGUUGGUGAGGUAAAGGCUCACCAAUGCGAUGAUACAUAGCAAACCUGAGAGGGUGAUCGGCCACCUUGGGACUGGGACACGGCCCAAACUCCUACGGGAGGCAGCAGUAGGGAAUCUUCGGCAAUGGACGAAAGUCUGACCGAGCAACGCCGCGUGAGUGAAGAAGGGUUUCGGAUCGUAAAACUCUGUUGGUAGAGAAGAACGUUGGUGAGAGUGGAAAGCUCAUCAAGUGACGGUAACUACCCAGAAAGGGACGGCUAACUACGUG